rnacentral:rRNA from 3 species
ACGGGUGCGGAACACGUACGUAACCUUCCUUUAAGUGGGAGAUAGCCCGAAGAAAUUCGGAUUAAUACCCCAUAAGAUUGUGGAGUGGCAUCACUCAGCAAUUAAAGAAUUUCGCUUAAAGAUGGGCGUGCGGCUGAUUAGGUAGUUGGUGAGGUAACGGCUCACCAAGCCAACGAUCAGUAACUGGCGUGAGAGCGCGACCAGUCACACGGGCACUGAGACACGGGCCCGACUCCUACGGGAGGCAGCAGUAAGGAAUAUUGGUCAAUGGACGCAAGUCUGAACCAGCCAUGCCGCGUGAAGGAUGAAGGUCCUCUGGAUUGUAAACUUCUUUUAUAUGGGAAGAAACCACUUUUUUCUAAAGGUGUUGACGGUACCAUAGGAAUAAGCACCGGCUAACUCCGUGCCAGCAGCCGCGGUAAUACGGAGGGUGCAAGCGUUAUCCGGAUUCACUGGGUUUAAAGGGUGCGUAGGCGGAUUAGUAAGUCCGUGGUGAAAUCUCCGAGCUUAACUCGGAAACUGCCGUGGAUACUAUUAAUCUUGAAUACUGUGGAGGUUAGCGGAAUAUGUCAUGUAGCGGUG